UACGAAGGGUGCAAGCGUUAAUCGGAAUUACUGGGCGUAAAGCGCGCGUAGGCGGUUUGGUAAGUGUGAUGUGAAAUCCCCGGGCUCAACCUGGGAACUGCAUCACAUACUGCCAAGCUAGAGUACGGUAGAGGGGGGUAGAAUUCCACGUGUAGCGGUGAAAUGCGUAGAGAUGUGGAGGAAUACCAGUGGCGAAGGCGGCCCCCUGGAUCGAUACUGACGCUGAGGUGCGAAAGCGU
rnacentral:rRNA from 1 species